UACGUAGGGUGCAAGCGUUAAUCGGAAUUACUGGGCGUAAAGCGUGCGCAGGCGGUGAUGUAAGACAGAUGUGAAAUCCCCGGGCUCAACCUGGGAACUGCAUUUGUGACUGCAUCGCUGGAGUGCGGCAGAGGGGGAUGGAAUUCCGCGUGUAGCAGUGAAAUGCGUAGAUAUGCGGAGGAACACCGAUGGCGAAGGCAAUCCCCUGGGCCUGCACUGACGCUCAGGCACGAAAGCGUGGGGAGCAAACAGG
rnacentral:rRNA from 1 species